rnacentral:rRNA from 1 species
UACGGGGGGGGCAAGCGUUGUUCGGAAUUACUGGGCGUAAAGGGCUCGUAGGCGGCCAACUAAGUCGGACGUGAAAUCCCCAGGCUCAACCUGGGAACUGCGUCCGAUACUGGAUGGCUUGAAUCCGGGAGAGGGAUGCAGAAUUCCAGGUGUAGCGGUGAAAUGCGUAGAUAUCUGGAGGAAUACCAGUAGCGAAGGCGGCAUCCUGGACCGGCAUUGACGCUGAGGAGCGAAAGCCAGGGGAGCAAACAGG